rnacentral:rRNA from 1 species
CCUACGGGGGGCUGCAGUGGGGAAUAUUGGGCAAUGGGCGCAAGCCUGACCCAGCAACGCCGCGUGAAGGAAGAAGGCUCUCGGGUUGUAAACUUCUUUUUAGAGGGAAGAGCAGACGACGGUACCUCUUGAAUAAGCCAUGGCUAACUACGUGCCAGCAGCUGCGGUAAUACGUAGGUGGCAAGUGUUGUCCGGAUUUACUGGGUGUAAAGGGCGUGCAGCCGGGAAGACAAGUCAGAUGUGAAAUCCCGCGGCUCAACCGCGGAACUGCAUUUGAAACUGUUUUUCUUGAGUACCGGAGAGGUAAUCGGAAUUCGUGGUGUAGCGGUGAAAUGCGUAGAUAUAAGGAAGAACACCAGUGGCGAAGGCAGAUGACUGGACGGCAACUGACGGUGAGGCGCGAAAGCGUGGGGAGCGAACAGGAUUAGAUACCCGAGUAGUC